rnacentral:rRNA from 1 species
AUGCAUGUCGUACGGGGUAGCCGUAACGGUGGCUGACGAGUGGCGAACGGGUGAGUAAUACAUCGGAACGUGCCCGAGAGUGGGGGAUAACGCAGCGAAAGCUGUGCUAAUACCGCAUACGAUCUACGGAUGAAAGCAGGGGAUUCGCAAGGACCUUGCGCUCAUGGAGCGGCCGAUGGCAGAUUAGGUAGUUGGUGGGAUAAAAGCUUACCAAGCCGACGAUCUGUAGCUGGUCUGAGAGGACGACCAGCCACACUGGGACUGAGACACGGCCCAGACUCCUACGGGAGGCAGCAGUGGGGAAUUUUGGACAAUGGGCGAAAGCCUGAUCCAGCCAUGCCGCGUGCAGGAUGAAGGCCUUCGGGUUGUAAACUGCUUUUGUACGGAACGAAAAGAUCUCUUCUAAUAAAGGGGGUCCAUGACGGUACCGUAAGAAUAAGCACCGGCUAACUACGUGCCAGCAGCCGCGGUAAUACGUAGGGUGCAAGCGUUAUUCUGAAUUACUGGCC